GACGAACGCUGGCGGCGUGCCUAAUACAUGCAAGUCGAACGCACUCUCGUUUAGAUUGAAGGAGUUUGCUCCUGAUUGAUAAACAUUUGAGUGAGUGGCGGACGGGUGAGUAACACGUGGGUAACCUGCCCUAAAGUGGGGGAUAACAUUUGGAAACAGAUGCUAAUACCGCAUAAAACCUAACACCGCAUGGUGUAGGGUUGAAAGAUGGUUUCGGCUAUCACUUUAGGAUGGACCCGCGGUGCAUUAGUUAGUUGGUGAGGUAAAGGCUCACCAAGACCGUGAUGCAUAGCCGACCUGAGAGGGUAAUCGGCCACACUGGGACUGAGACACGGCCCAGACUCCUACGGGAGGCAGCAGUAGGGAAUCUUCCACAAUGGACGAAAGUCUGAUGGAGCAACGCCGCGUGAGUGAAGAAGGUUUUCGGAUCGUAAAACUCUGUUGUUGGAGAAGAAUGUAUCUGAUAGUAACUGAUCAGGUAGUGACGGUAUCCAACCAGAAAGCCACGG
rnacentral:rRNA from 1 species